GAUCCUGCUUAAGUAGUGUCCAAACAUCUUGGCUAGAGGUUGCUCCAUGCUCUGCUUUCAUAUCUGCAUUGCAACAUCAUCUUCAAGUGUUGGGUAAGAAAGAUGUAGGCAAGCAACCAAGGAAGCAGCAGCAGGGCAGACUUGGAGUCCAAGGACAAGCUGUUGUGUAUCACAGAGAUCCUGUUGAAGAAAUCAGCCUUGUGCCAAACACUGAAGAAACAGUCAGAUUCCAGCUCAAUUCGAUUUAUGUAACACAAUUCUGUUCUGUUUGCUCCUCUUGGCAAAGUCUCUCUUGAAUGACUGGGAUUCUCAGCAGCUCCAGCAUGAGGCCCAUUGACACCGGAAGAGUGGCAGGGAAGAGCUCUUGGUUGUCAGCUUGCAACAAUGCCUUCAGGUGCCCACUGCAUGCAAACACAUCCCCCAGGAGAGGGCUCCUCUAUGUUGGAAUAUGUACACAAGGCCUUCUAAAGUCUCCUGAAGCCAAUCAGCUAUGUAGAGUGUGCCCGAUAGACAAUGAUGGAGCUGGAAACUGAAGGACUUUGGAAGCAGGGAAAAAUCACGAGAUACCUGCAGUGAUCUUGGAAGGAGAAUUGGACACUAAAGUGAUCAAUAUGCAAGCCUGAGAGCCUGAGACCAAUAUAAAGAUUGAGAAAAACACCAGAUUUUCUUUUGCAGGAUGAUGUCACAGCCCUUCCCCUCCUGUGAAUAGAACCAUUUUAAUCAAGAUAAAACCGCCAAUGAGAUCCCUGGAAAGGUCACACGGAGUCGCUAUGUGUAGUACCAGUCCCACAAAAGAGCCCUUCCUUCUUGAACAAGUUUUGAAGUGGAAAGAAUGUUUCUAUUCAUGACAUCUUUCUAACUUAACAAGGUGGAGUUGAAAAGACCUGCUCCUGAACUCAAGGAACAUCCAACUCUACAUAUUUUGCUUCAGCCUAACCCUUGAGAGUGAACCAUUUCAACGGAAAUGCUUUUAUGGCUGUUUCAAGGCUGAUAACCUACAACAGAUCAAGGUCCAUGAAACAGGGAAGCGCCUUAUUUAGGGGAGGUGUUCUCUGGAGGCCAUCAUUCCUGGGUCAGAAAGGAAGUUUCUUGUCUGAUAGUUUUACGGUGAUUAAAAGAAUCUAAGCCCGUGUUCCUCUA